UCCUACGGGGGGCAGCAGUGAGGAAUAUUGGUCAAUGGUCGGGAGACUGAACCAGCCAAGCCGCGUGAGGGAUGAAGGUACAGAGUAUCGUAAACCUCUUUUGUCAGGGAACAAAGGCGGGGACGUGUCCCCGGAUGAGUGUACCUGAAGAAAAAGCAUCGGCUAACUCCGUGCCAGCAGCCGCGGUAAUACGGAGGAUGCGAGCGUUAUCCGGAUUUAUUGGGUUUAAAGGGUGCGCAGGCGGUCUGUUAAGUCCGCGGUCAAAGCCCGGGGCUCAACCCCGGCCCGCCGUUGAAACUGGCAGG
rnacentral:rRNA from 1 species